rnacentral:ncRNA from 1 species
UGUAAUUGUCAUAGAGCGUGACAACGGUAAAAUAAAUAAAGCUCAAUGGAU